rnacentral:rRNA from 1 species
UACGUAGGGGGCAAGCGUUGUCCGGAUUUAUUGGGCGUAAAGAGCGUGUAGGCGGCCAGACAGGUCCGUUGUGAAAACUAGAGGCUUAACCUCUAGACGUCGAUGGAAACCGUCUGGCUAGAGUCCGGAAGAGGAGAAUGGAACUCCUGGUGUAGCGGUGAAAUGCGCAGAUAUCAGGAAGAACACCCGUGGCUAAGGCGGUUCUCUAGUACGGUACUGACGCUGAGACGCGAAAGCGUGGGGAGCGAACAGG